ensembl:lncRNA
AUCUCCAGUUGCGGGCAUUUUCUCCUGGGAUUCAGGACAGAAAGCACACUUCCACGAACUAUAUAUCAUUGAAGAGAUAUGUGAAAAACACCUUGAGGAUUGGUUCUAAACAACGUUUGCCAUGUUUCAGUCGAUAUUAUGGAGUUAAUUUGGAAAAAAGUUCGGCGUUUUUAUGACUGGUUUUUCGUGUUUUUUUGGUAGCCAAACGUGACGCACCAAACAGAGCGAUUUCUCCUAAACAAAUAACCUUUCAGGAAAAACUGAACAUUUGCUAUCUAACAGAGUCUCCUCAUUGAAAACAUCUGAAGUUCUUCAAAGGCUGCCAAUAAUUAUGGACCUAGCUGUAUAGGGAGGAGGUCAGAGACCUGGCAGUGUGGUGCCAGGAUAACAACCUCUCCCUCAACGUGAUCAAGACAAAGGAGAAUAUCGUGGACGACAGGAAAAAAAGAGGGCCGAGGACAUUGAGAGCUUCAAGUUCCUUGGUGUCCACAUCACCAACGAACUAUCAUGGUCCAAACACACCAAGACAGUCAUGAAGAGAGCAUGAGGAGACUGAAAAGAUUUGGGAAGUGUCCUCAGAUCCUCAAAAAGUUCCACAGCUGCCCCAUCGGGAACAUCUUGACUGGUUACAUCACUGCCUGGUAUUGCAACUGCUCAGCCUCCGACCACAAGGCACUACAGCGGGUAGUGGAUAUGGCCUAGUACAUCACUGGGGACAAGUUUCCUGCCAUCCAGGACAUCUAUACCAGGCGGUGUCAGAGGAAGGCCUUAAAAAUUGCCAAAGACUCCAGCCACCCUAGUCAUAGACUGUUCUCUCUGCUACCGCACAGUACCGGAGCGCCAAGUCUAGGUCCAAAAGGCUUCUUAACAGCUUCUACCCCCAAGCCAUAAGACUCCUGAACAGCUAAUCAAAUCAAAUGGCUACCCAGACUAUUUGCAUUGAACCCCCCCCCCCCAAAAAAAAAAUAUAUAUAUUUUUACGUUGCUGCUACUCUGUUUAUUAUCUAUGCAUAUUUUUUUUUUUUUUCAUUUUUCUACUUCAAUUUAUUCUUAAGACUUAUUUUUCUUGGUAAUUGUUGGUUAAGGGCUUGUGACAAAUACAAUUUGAUUUUGAUGCAUUUUGAAUACAUACAGUACCAGUCAAACAUUUGGACACACCUACUCAUUCAAGGGUUUUCCUUUAUUUUUCUAUUUUAUAUAUUGUAGAAUAAUAGUGAAGACAUCACAACUAUGAAAGAAC